rnacentral:lncRNA from 10 species
GCCAGGCUGGUCUCGAACUCCUGACCUUGUGAUCCACCCGCCUCGGCCCCCCAAAGUGCUGGGAUUACAGGUGUGAGCCACUACACCUGACCAAUAAAGUUUUAUUGGCACACAGCCAUGCCCAUUCAUACACCUAGUGUCACUGGUGGCUUUCAUGAUACGGCGGCAGAGCUGAGUAGUUGCGUCAGGCACCCGUGUCUGAAAAGGCUGAGAGUAUUUACACACUGGCCCUUUACACAGAGAGUUUGCCACACCUCUGAGCCACCUCCUUUCAACAGGUCCAAAGGAAUAAUCCCAAGUGGAAAGUUAACAUGAGAAAGUGCCCAGUAUAGUGCUAUUUAUUUAUUUAUUUAUUUUUACUUCUUUUUUGAGACAGAGUCUCACUCUGUCACCCAGGCUGGAGUGCAGCGGUGUGAUCUCGGCUCACUGCAACCUCCCCCUCCCAGGUUCAGGCGAUUCUUGUGCCUCAGUUUCCCAAGUAGCUGGGACUACAGGCAUGCACCACCACACCUGGCUAAUUUCAUAUUUUUAGUAGAGACGGGGUUUCACCAUGUUGGUUAGGCUGGUCUCGAACUCCUGACCUCAAGCGAUCUGCCUGCCUCGGCCUCCUAAAGUGCUGGGAUUCCAGGCGUGAACCACCGCGCCCAGCCACAGUGCUAUUUAUUGAUAGAGCAAAACUGGAACCAAAUAUGCUAAAUGAAAUAUGCUAAAGCAGACAGCAGCUAAAAUAAAGAACCAAAACGCCUCCACACAGCAAAACCGCAGCAGCCAGUGAGAGAGCGCUGUGGCGCUGCGAGAUCGCUCCUGAAGCAGGAACCCAAAACAGGAUUUAAGUCACAAUGUGGAGGUCACAGCUCGUGGGUGGGGGGGCGAAAAUGUAGGGAAAAGGGUAUGAAAGACCGAAUGCCCGGCUCUUACUGUUGGUUGGCGUGCUGGAGUCCAGAACCAAGGCUGGUUAAGAUGGAAAGUGUCUGAUGAAAGAGAAUGAUGCGCUGGGAGCUUUGUCUUCCUGACAAAUUUGUUCUGUUCUUCAGGCUUCGAACCUAAUGAACAAUCCCCAGAUUCAGCAGCUGUAAGUGACAACCGGGUUUCUUCGGGUCUUGUUGUGGUUAAAUUUCCUUUUAUUGUGGGUAAAUUCACUUAACAUAAAACUAACCACUUUAAAGUGUGCAACUUAAUGGCAUUAAGGACUUUCACACUGUCAUGCAACUGUCACCACUAUCACACUGUCAUGCAACUGUCACCACCAUCACACUGUCAUGCAACUGUCACCACCAUUGAGCACCAACCCAUCUUCAUCACCUCCGAAAGAAGCCCCUUCCCCCUCAGCUGUCACUCCCCAACCCCUCUCCUAUCCCCUGACAACCACGCAUCCCCUUCCUGUCUCUGUGGAUGGGCCUGUCCUGGACAUUUCGUAGAAAUGGGAUCACACACUGCGUGAACUUUGGUGUCUGGCGUCUCUCACUGAGCGUGACGUCCUCAAGGUGCAUGUGUGCUGGGGCCUGGGUCAGGGCCUCGCUCCUUUUCAUGGCUGAGUAAUAUUCCAGUGUGGAGGGACCACGCUGUGCUGAUCCACACAUCUAUCCAUGGACAUUUGGGCUGUUUCUACCUUUUGUCUGUUGUGAACGGUGCUGCUUGAGCACGGGUGUGCAAUCGUCUGUGUGAAUCCUGUUUUCGUUUCUCUUGGAUAUAAACUUCUGAGUGCACUCGCUGGCUCAUAGGGUCACUCCCCAGUAAGCGCUGUGCGCACUGGGGAGCUGCUCACCUGUUUUCAUGGUGAAAUCUUUUUUUCUUUCUCCUUUUUUUUUUUUUGAGACAGAAUCUUGCUCUGUCACCCAGGCUGGAGUGCAGUGGCAGAAUCUUGGCUCACUGCAACCUCUGCCUCCCGGGAUCAAGUGGGUCUUCCCAAGUAGCUGGAAUUACAGGCAUCCACCACCAUGCCCGGCUGAUUUUUGCAUUUUUAGUAGAGAUGGGGUUUCACCAUGUUGGCCAGGCUGGUCUUGAACUCCUGACCUCAGGUGAUCCACCCGCCUCAGCCUCCCAAAGUGCAGGGAUGACAGGUGUGAGCCACCGCGGCUGGCCCACGGUCAAAUCUUAAAGCAUGGUUUCCCAGCCACAGCACCGUGGCCAUUUGAGCUGGACCAGUUUCUGGAGCAGGGCCGUCCUGGGCACUGCAGGGUGCUGAGCACUGUCUCUAGCCUCCAUCCACUCCAUGCCAGGAGCACCCCCUGCCCCUGUCUUGGCGUAACCCAAUCAUGGCUGUUGCAAAUGUCCGCUGCCAUUGCAGGGGUCCUCUGGGGGCAGGAUCACCCCCUGGCUGAGAACUACGCUCUUUAGGCCAAAGAAAGAGGGGUGUUCUGGGAAAGCAGGUGAAAGUCACAGGGUGGGUUUGGGCCCUGGAGGCCCACCAGGUGGUGAGAGAGAAUCCUCUCCUGCAGGGGAAGGUGAAGGGCUGAGAGGGAUUCUCUCCCGGGCCACUGCGAGGGCCUGCAGUGGGGGUGGCGGUCAGGCUGUCCCGGCUGCGAGUCACGCGCUCUCUCCUGCAGCAUGUCCGGCAUGAUUUCGGGUGGCAACAACCCCUUGGGAACUCCCGGCACCAGCCCCUCGCAGAACGACCUGGCCAGCCUCAUCCAGGCGGGCCAGCAGUUUGCCCAGCAGAUGCAGCAGCAGAACCCAGAGUUGAUAGAGCAGCUCAGGAGCCAGAUCCGGAGUCGGACGCCCAGCGCCAGCAACGACGACCAGCAGGAGUGACGCUGCCUGCUCCCGGUGUGACCGCGUCCUUCCCUGGCCGACCCGAAGGAAGCCUUCUGGUUGUCUGCCACUUCCUCCUGUUGGACUGCCUGAGAGAGGGGAAGAGAGAGACCUCGGACCUGCAUGUCAAGAUGGAUUUUCCCCUUUUAUCUCUGCCCUCCUCCACUCCCUUUUUGUAACUCCCUUACAGCCCCCAGACCCUUCUUGAAACGAGAGCCAGCAAGCUGAGCACAGACCAGCAGCGACCUCCCUUCCAGCCCCCAGAAAGCUCGGUCACUUGAGUGUUUUCUAGAAUCCUGGGGUGCUCCCGGGCCGCUCUCAGAGAAGUGGCAGGUUUCACGUUCAGCCGUGUGGCGGAUCGUGUGGCUUCCAAAGCCUUUUACAGCCCCCG